rnacentral:rRNA from 1 species
AUGAACGCUGGCGGCGUGCCUAACACAUGCAAGUCGAACGAGAUGCGUGUCGGAAAGCUUCGGCCGGAAGAUGCGUUAUCUAGUGGCGGACGGGUGAGUAACACGUGGGUAACCUGCCUUAUGGAGGGGGAUAACAGAGAGAAAUCACUGCUAAUACCGCAUAAGCACACAUUGCCGCAUGGCAGAGUGUGAAAAGAUUUAUCGCCAUAAGAUGGACCCGCGUCUGAUUAGCCAGUUGGCAGGGUAAAAGCCUACCAAAGCAACGAUCAGUAGCCGAUCUGAGAGGAUGACCGGCCACAUUGGGACUGAGACACGGCCCAAACUCCUACGGGAGGCAGCAGUGGGGAAUAUUGCACAAUGGGGGAAACCCUGAUGCAGCGACGCCGCGUGAGUGAAGAAGUAUUUCGGUAUGUAAAGCUCUAUCAGCAGGGAAGAUAAUGACAGUACCUGACUAAGAAGCCCCGGCUAACUACGU